GGUGCCUGUACCAGCGUCGUUCGGUUGUUCCAGGGACUUUCACUUAACUCGAUGACUCCCAACCAUAGAAACAGGAAAGAAUCUCUCCGUGACGGGUACGGCUCCAUCAACUAACUGGAUCGAGUGUUCUUCUACCUUGCUGCUCAAUCUGUUCGGGGGAUGGGAUAUGUGCCUCUAUCAGUUCUCCUUUGGCCAUAAACUCGAGCUCCACCUGGUGUAAGGAUUCUACACCCACCACCUCUGGAAGGACAAAGGAGUAUCGGCAAUCGAUGUGUUAACCCU